rnacentral:rRNA from 1 species
UACGUAGGCAGCGAGCGUUGUUCGGAAUUACUGGGCGUAAAGAGUGUGUAGGCGGUGCUCUAAGUUCGGUGUGAAAUCUCCUGGCUUAACUGGGAGGGUGCGCCGGAAACUGGAGUGCUCGAACGUGGGAGAGGAAAGCGGAAUUCCUGGUGUAGCGGUGAAAUGCGUAGAUAUCGAGAGGAACACCUGCGGCGAAGGCGGGUUGCUGGGCUGACACUGACGCUGAACUGCGAAAGCUAGGGGAGCGAACGGG